rnacentral:misc_RNA from 1 species
AGACAAGCAUAUGACUACUGGCAGGAUCAACCAGGUAGCACGUCCUCGCAUGACGCCGUGCCCGUCCCCGGUGCCGCGGUUGGCCAGCGAUGGCGAGGCCAUGCCGUGGCGCGCGGGAAGGCAGGCCGGCGGUCAUUCCAACGAACAGAACAUGGCGUAAGGGCCCAGACGGCCGUGCCAAUAAACGCACGCUGCAUCCGCGAGCACUAAGGGCGCCCGUGCUUCCGAUCGGGGUGUUGGUGAUCGGAGUCACACAAUCGUCCGAGGGAGACAAGCAUACGUUUAGUGGCAGGAUCAACCAGGUAGCACGUCCAGGCAGAGGACAGAGCCGGUGCCCGGGAGUGCGGUUGCCUAGCGAUCAAGAUAGCAUGCACUGGCACACCGGAAGGCACCAAUCGCAUGAUUGGGGCCAUAGAAUGAUAUGGAGCAGUAAAGGCGGUUGGGUGCUCAAGGCCCGCAACCCGACGUUACAUGCAAGCAUCAUGCAUCUUAUGUGCCGACACGGUCAUUCCGCCAUACAUCGCACCAAUCGCCCGCAUUCCACCUCAAAAAGA